rnacentral:rRNA from 1 species
GACGUAGGGCGCGAGCGUUGUCCGGAAUUAUUGGGCGUAAAGAGCUCGUAGGCGGUUUGUCGCGUCUGCUGUGAAAACCUAAGGCUCAACCUCGGGCCUGCAGUGGGUACGGGCAGACUAGAGUGCGGUAGGGGAGAUUGGAAUUCCUGGUGUAGCGGUGGAAUGCGCAGAUAUCAGGAGGAACACCAAUGGCGAAGGCAGAUCUCUGGGCCGUAACUGACGCUGAGGAGCGAAAGCAUGGGGAGCGAACAGG